CACGAAAUAGGAAUAGAACUCUUCAUCAAAAUUAAUAUGUCGGAGAUUAUAAAGGUGGUUUAUACUCCUGCUUCACGAGGACGUGUAAUUUGUCA